rnacentral:rRNA from 1 species
UGGGGAAUAUUGCACAAUGGACGGAAGUCUGAUGCAGCAACGCCGCGUGCGGGAUGACGGCCUUCGGGUUGUAAACCGCUUUUUCUCAUGACGAAGUUUUUUGACGGUAGUGGGGGAAGAAGCACCGGCUAACUACGUGCCAGCAGCCGCGGUGAUACGUAGGGUGCGAGCGUUGUCCGGAAUUAUUGGGCGUAAAGAGCUUGUAGGCGGUUUGUCGCGUCGAUAGUGCAAACUCAGUGCUUAACGCUGAGCCUGCUGUUGAGACGGGCAGACUAGAGGAAGGUAGGGGAGAAUGGACUUCCCGGUGGAGCGGUGGAAUGCGCAGAUCUCGGGCGGAACACCGGUGGCGAAGGCGGUUCUCUGGGAAUUUCCUGACGCUGAGAAGCGAAAGCGUGGGGAGCGAACAGG